CUGUCUCUUAACUUACACAUGCAAGUCUCAGCACACCCGUGAGAACGCCCUUCUUCCUCAAUCAGAUGAAGGAGCCGGCAUCAGGCACAGACUCCUAGCCCAUAACGCCUAGUUACACCACACCCUCAAGGGCACUCAGCAGUGACAAAUAUUACUUAUAAGCGUCAGCUUGAAUUAGUUAAAGAAAAUUAGAGUCGGCCAAUCCGGUGCCAGCCGCCGCGGCUACACCAGCAGACUCAAGUUGAUAACCACCGGCGUUAAGCGUGAUUAAAGAAACCCGAAAUUAGAGUUAAAUAUGAAUUUAGCAGUGAUAAGCUUAUUACUUAGAAGAACAAAAACGAAAGUUACUCUAAUCUUACUUGAAUACACGACAGCCAGGGUACAAACUGGGAUUAGAUACCCCACUAUA
rnacentral:rRNA from 1 species